AUGAAUCGUCUGCUGGAAUACGGUAGUGUUGAAGCAAUUCCCUAUUACAACUGCUCCCAUAAAAAUUUCACGGAAUGGGAGAAGACUGGACAGAAACGACCGUAUUUCGGAUGGCCACUGGUAGUUUUUGGAGUCCUCGUGGAGUUGUUGUACAUUCCUGUUAUCUAUAUUAUAUUUAAAACCAAACUUAUCAGACAUCCGUGCUAUAAAAUAAUUGUUCUAUUGGCCCUAAUUGACAUUACUGCGACUUGCUGUAGUUGCCUGAUUACUGGACCGAUGCUGAUUAUGGGUACCGUGUUCUGCAUGUAUCCAACGUUUACUUAUGUGGCUGGAGGAAUUGCAAUAAGUACCUGGUGUAUGGCAUGUGCCGCCACCACGUCUCUAUUUUCCAAUCGGAUCAUCAGUAUUGGCUUCAGGAAGUAUGCAGAUGUAAUCGAGAAGAAACUCGCCUAUACUUCAAUCAGUUUUGUACUUUUCUAUGGAUUCUACAUUUGUUGGUUUACACCCACAACUGCGUAUAAUUCUGUAUUUAUGGCAUGGAUUCCUGAUCCAUUAUCUGAGGAAGUACCCAGUAAAGAGGCAGCUGCAAUGAAUUAAUAAGAAAACAGUCCUCAGAGAUUAAAAAACGUUUCAGUACAAACACACCAUUCUACCGUGGAACAAUUGGAUUUUUGUGGCAUGCAUGUUCAUUUUAUUUUCUGUGUAUUUUAUAAUGGUAAAACGGAUGGCGAAGGGACAGAAAUCAAAGGCUUCCAGAUCAAUUUUCAUUCAAUGCUCCAUAAUUUGCUUCUUCAAUACCGGAACUGCUUUGGUCUACAACGCGCUAGCAAUUGUAACCCCUGCUGAAUGGAUUCUUGCAUUUGGACAAAUAUGUUGGACAUGUAAUCAUGCAAGUCCUGCUAUUAUAUAUGUCUCUUUAAAUAGCACUAUCCGCAGGGAAUUCUUGAAAAUUGUGUUCCGAAACACUUUGGCACCGAAAGUGGAAGAUGCUACAACAGGUGUUGCAAAGAACACGAUUUAAAAUCAAUUUUGUAAUGUAA